rnacentral:rRNA from 1 species
AUUGAACGCUGGCGGAAUGCUUUACACAUGCAAGUCGAACGGCAGCACGGACUUCGGUCUGGUGGCGAGUGGCGAACGGGUGAGUAAUGUAUCGGAACGUGCCCAGUCGUGGGGGAUAACGUAGUGAAAAUUACGCUAAUACCGCAUACGAUCUAUGGAUGAAAGCGGGGGAUCGCAAGACCCCGCGCGAUUGGAGCGGCCGAUAUCAGAUUAGGUAGUUGGUGGGGUAAAGGCCCACCAAGCCAACGACCUGUAGCUGGUCUGAGAGGACGACCAGCGACACGGGAACGGAGACACGGUCCAGACUCCUAGGGGAGGAGGCGGUGGGGAAUUUGGGACAAUGGGCGAAAGCCUGAUCCAGCCAGUCCGCGUGCAGGAUGAAGGCCCUCGGGUUGUAAACUGCUUUUGUACAGAACGAAAAGGUUUCUACUAAUACUAGGAGCUCAUGACGGUACUGUAAGAAUAAGCACCGGCUAACUACGUGCCAGCAGCCGCCGUAA